UGAAUUGGCAAAAUCCCCAUCAAACUGAUCCUUUUACAUCAAAUUAUGGUGUUUUGGUUCCUGCGCAUGCUAAUUUUGUUAGGAAUAAUGCUCCAAUGAAUGUGAAUCAAAUUGAGCAUCAAAAUUCAAAUAAAAAUGAUAUGGGGAACAUGAAAUUAGAAAAAAACUCCUUCAUACUUUAUCCAAAACACUACCAAUUUGAAAUUUAGGGUUUCAACUAG
rnacentral:lncRNA from 1 species